UUCCAGACUCCUACGGGAGGCAGCAGUUGGGAAUAUUGGACAAUGAAGGAAACUCUGAUCCAGUGACGCCGCGUGAAGGAAGAAGGUCUUCGGAUUGUAAACUUAUUUUGUCAGGGAAGAAAAAAAUGACUGUACCUGAAGAAAAAGCACCGGCUAACUCCGUGCCAGCAGCCGCGGUAAUACGGAGGGUGCAAGCGUUACUCGGAAUCACUGGGCGUAAAGAGCGCGUAGGCGGGAUAGCAAGUCAGAUGUGAAAUCCUAUGGCUUAACCAUAGAACUGCAUUUGAAACUGUUAUUCUAGAGUAUGGGAGAGGUAGGUGGAAUUCUUGGUGUAGGGGUAAAAUCCGUAGAGAUCAAGAGGAAUACUCAUUGCGAAGGCGACCUGCUAGAACAUAACUGACGCUGAUGCGCGAAAGCGUGGGGAGCAAACAGGAUUAGAUACCCCGGUA
rnacentral:rRNA from 1 species